AGCUGAUAAUCAUUAGGCUGUAGCAAGACCAACUGGGUUGCAUUUGUUGAUCUUAAUGUAACAAAAUUACAUGGCAAAGGAGGGCUCGAUCUUUCAAAUAACCUGGCCUUCAGACACCUUUGCAUCUGGACAGAGAAGAUGGAUGAUGUAGAAGGAAAGGUGAAAGAGGUGAACAGAAGGAGAAGAAACAGGAAUGGAGCAAAGCAUCUCUGCAGCAAUCGAGGCUGAUGCUCCCUUGCAGAACGGCUUCUUUGCCUCUCCAUUUUAUUUGUGGAACUCAAGGAGGCAUGCUUGUGGGUUCUAGGUGAUCUCCAGCAACGUGGUGGCCUCGUGCCUCCAGACCACACCCUAUAUACUCAGACUCAUAUGCACUUACCCUUUUGAACUCUCUCCUGUUUACACAUCAGACGGAUGCCAUCUCUGUUGUCUUUUUGGCGCUUUUCGAAGCCUUUCUUUUUUCAGCAAGUGGAGAUAAAGUUCCCAGUGUGCAUCUGUAUUAGAGCUGACAUUAUUUUGACAUAUGAAAGUUGUUUUAAUUGUUUUUAUAUAUGGAGUUUUUAAUUGUUUGUGCAUAUGGAAUAGUUUUUACAUAUGGAAUUGUUUUUAUUGUUGAUACUCUUGUUUUGAAAUCGCUUUGAAAUCGUUUAUGGGAGGCGAUUCAUAAAUGGAACCGAAUGAAUGAA